rnacentral:rRNA from 1 species
GACGAACGCUGGCGGCGUGCCUAAUACAUGCAAGUAGAACGCUGAAGGAGGAGCUUACUUCUCUGGAUGAGUUGCGAACGGGUGAGUAACGCGUAGGUAACCUGCCUGGUAGCGGGGGAUAACUAUUGGAAACGAUAGCUAAUACCGCAUAAGAGUAGAUGUUGCAUGACAUUUACUUAAAAGGUGCAAUUGCACCACUACCAGAUGGACCUGCGUUGUAUUAGCUAGUUGGUGGGGUAACGGCUUACCAAGGCGACGAUACAUAGCCGACCUGAGAGGGUGAUCGGCCACACUGAGACUGAGACACGGCCCAGACUCAUACGGGAGGCAGCAGUAGGGAAUCUUCGGCAAUGGACGGAAGUCUGACCGAGCAACGCCGCGUGAGUGAAGAAGGUUUUCGGAUCGUAAAGCUCUGUUGUAAGAGAAGAACGAGUGUGAGAGUGGAAAGUUCACACUGUGACGGUAUCUUACCAGAAAGGGACGGCUAACUACGUGCCAGCAGCCGCCGCCG